CGUGAGAGGGGAAAAAAAGGAAGAGAGUGCACUUAGAAUCCCGAAUUCGCCUGUGCCCCAGGGCUGGAAACUGCUGGAUCCAGAACCAGAGAAGGAUGCCUCCCUUGGGCUGCACAAAUACCCAGGGACGCUCAGAAACGGUGCGCAUGACGCAGAUGCCAUGACUGCCCCUUGGGCCCUCGGAUCUGAGUGAGUGACAAGUGUUCCAGGCCCGGUGCAGGAGAGUAGUGUGCUGGAGAGUAGGGCAGCCUCGCACAGUUCGGCGGGUUCUGCGCGGAGAGGUAUCUCUCCGGGCUCCGAAGCUGCUGCCCUGCACAGAGACUAAAGAGCGCCUCUGGUCCCUGUAGCUGCAGCGGGGGAAAGAUGAAGAUCUGGAGCUCCGAGCACGUGUUUGGCCACCCAUGGGACACUGUCAUCAAAGCUGCUAUGAGAAAAUAUCCAAAUCCUAUGAACCCUUGUGUAGUAGGAGUGGAUGUGUUAGACAGGAACCUUGAUAACCAGGGAAGGUUACAUAGCCAUCGUCUUCUCAGCACAGAGUGGGGACUUCCAACUCUUGUGAAAGCGGUCUUGGGAACCAAUAGGACUUUGACAUAUAUUCAAGAACAUUCUGUUGUAGAUCCAGUGGGGAAAAAAAUGGAGCUAUGUUCUACUAAUAUCACGCUCACAAAUUUGGUGUUGGUGAAUGAGAGGUUGGUGUACACACCUCAUCCUGACAACCCUGAAAUGACGGUGCUGACACAUGAAGCAGUCAUCACUGUGAAGGGAUUUAGCUUAGGCAGCUACUUGGAAAGCUUAAUGGCAAACACCAUAUCAUCCAAUGCACGGAAGGGGUGGGCUGCUAUUGAGUGGAUAAUUCAAAAUUCUGAAAGUGCUGUAAGCUAACUGCAUCCAAACACCUACCAUUUGGGAUAAAUAGUGGUAACUACAGCAUUAUUGACCCUGGGUCGAGAUGCCUUGGAAUGGGUGAUCAGCAGACUUAAUACAGAAUUUGAGGAACUAGCAGCAGCACCUUGACAAAGCAUGCAACAAAGCAAAAACAGCAGCAGCCUCAAGAUGUCAAAGCAAUGAGGACAUGCAGAAAUCUACCUAGGCAAGGGUGUGUUUUUCCCUACUAAGUGCCAUCUUGAGCUGAUAUGCAAUUUGGGGCUCUACUUGAUUCAUCAGACCUUCAGCUAUUAAUAGACACCUAGAAAACAAUUAUGAGUUGAAUUAGGAAAUUAAUUAUAAAGGAAGUUGUGAAUUAACCAUAUGAAUGAAUAUAGUGGGAAUUGCAAGAAGGGUCAUUUUAUUUUCUGAGAAAAGGUAACCUUUUUUUACCAAAUGAGUAAAUGUGAAUCUUUGAUUCCCCUUCCCCACUCUCACCCUCCUCCCCCCCCAGGUUAAAAAUAAUAUUAAAUUGGAAUUAAGAUUUCAAAAACUGUGACCAAAAAAGACAUAUUCUCUGUGAAUCCUCAAAUUAGAAUUUCCUCACAUUAUAAAACAAUAUUUCCUUAAAGUCUCUGCUUAAAUCUUUGAAGUUCACUGCAAUAAUAGACUGAAAUAUUUCCUUUGAUCAAAGGAGAAAAAAUUCAUUUUCUUUGACGAGAACAGGGGUUUUUAACUUUAUUGCUCACAGAUUUUUUUGGCAGUCUGUUGAAGCUUAUAGAGCCCUUCUCAGAAAAAUGUUUUUAAUGCAUCAAAUAAAAUAUUUAAGAUUACAAAGGAAACCAAUUAUUUUGAAAUACAUUUUUAAAAAACCAACUUUUUAAAAAGUUUUCCAAUUAAGAAUACUUGGAUUAAAGGAGCAUUGACAAAGCACAACUGAAUAUUGCUGCAGAUGGGUUAUAUGAUUGUAAGAUCUUGGCACUCCUCAGAAGGCACAUAUUUACCUGUCAGUAUUUACUGUCCUUACAUAUCCUGCAUCCAUGUUACAUGUACAACAAAUUUAGAGGGAAUUUGAGAAAUAGAUCUUGGCUAUAAUUACAUAAUUAAUAACUUGAAUGACAUCCUUAUUUUAAACUAAUAUUUGGAAAUGGUAAUGGGGAUAUAUCUUCCUAAUUUAUGUUUAUUGUUAACUAAUAAAAUCAACAAAGCUGUUUGAGAUACUUUAAGGAGAAAUAACUAUUUUUCUAGGAUAUUCUUUGCUUUAGGUAUGUGAUGUUUUUUUUUCUUUAUCUUCAUCAGUUUUUCUGUCUCUGUUUCUAUUUGCCUCUGCCCGUUUGUCUGUCUUUCUUUAAAAAAAAGAAAAAAAAAAAAAAAAAAAAGAAGUUUCCCCAUCUGUCUCACUGGAAUUUCAGGAGUUCUCGAGGGCCUGAUUUCACUGUAGAUUGGCCUGGGAACUUUGAUCUGGUCUUUUACCAAUCUGGGUCAUAUCUCCUUUCUUUUUGUUGUUGUUUGGUUGUUUCAGCUGUGUCUGAGAAACUAUUUGGCAUUU